CUUUUAGUUGACAGAAGUGAACGGUCGCGCCAAGGAAAGCGGACUAUAUAGAAAGAUCAAUUUGCAUGACCCUCCCCGGACAGAAGUAACUAAAAAUGAGAUUAUCUCAGUCGAAGGCGGGAGUGGGUAAAACCCCAUAGCGGCGACGUUAUAAACUUUCUGCAGUAUGUGUGUUUGUGUUGAAGUGCUUUCAUACGAACAACAGACAACGUUUUAAAGUCCAGAUUGCAACUUUAAAAUUCUGCAAUCCGAGCCUUUAGGCAGACGCUGCUUAACAUCUAGUACCGCUGUGUGGAGAGAGUCGAAAUUGCCGCCCAUACAGACCAGGGAACUGUUGCUAAUAUGUUUAAAGACAGCACCGAUGGCCAGUUCAACAUAAACUUUAUGUGAUUUAUUCAA